rnacentral:rRNA from 1 species
AUGGGUCCAGUCGUGCUCCUCCUCGUCGUUGCCGUUGCCGUCUCCGCCGCGCCGGCGGCAGCCGAGCUGCCGCGGCUGGAGCACUCGCCCAAGGCGGAUGGGUCGCUGUCCAUCCUUGCCGUCGGCGACUGGGGGAGGCGUGGGGAGUUCAACCAGUCCCGGGUCGCCACCCAGAUGGGGGUGGUAGCGGAGAAGAUGGACGUCGACUUCAUCAUCUCCACUGGCGACAACUUCUACAGCGAUGGCCUAACCGGCGUCCACGACAGGGCCUUCGAGGACUCCUUCACCGGCAUCUACACUGCCAAGAGCCUUCAGAAGCCUUGGUACACAGUUCUUGGCAACCAUGACUACCGGGCGACGCCCUGGCGCAGACCAGCCCUGUCCUCGCGAAAGUCGACCGCCGAGGUUGCGGAUUUCUUCUUCGUGGACACGACGCCCUUCGUCCUCCAGUACUGGACCAACCCCAAGGACAGCACGUACGACUGGAGGGGCGUUGCUCCUCGCGACACCUACAUCGCAAAUCUCCUCAAGGACGUGGAGGCUUCGCUGGGGCGGUCGAGGGCGCCGUGGAAGAUCGUCGUCGGGCACCACCCCAUCCGGACCGCCGGCAAGCACGGCGACACCGAAGAGCUCGUGCAGCUGCUCCUCCCGAUGCUCAAGGCCCAUGGCGUCGACCUCUACAUCAACGGCCAUGACCACUGCCUCGAGCAGAUCAGCAACAGCGACAGCCCUCUGCAGUACCUGACGAGCGGCGGCGGGUCCAAGGCGUGGGGCGGCGUCUACGCGCCGGGCGCCGACAAGGUGGAGUUCUUCCACGACGGACAGGGGUUCAUGUCGCUGCGCUUGACCGCCACCGACGCGCGGCUCGCAUUCCACGACGUCGCCGGCGCCGUCCGCCACACCUGGGGGCAUGCCAAGACCGCGCACUACUGA